rnacentral:tRNA from 1 species
ACCUGGCUGGCUCAGUUGGUAGAGCAUGUGACUCUUGAUCUUGGGGUUGUGAGUUUGAGCCCCACGUUGGGUG